AUUCCUUGAAUGUCAUCUGGAGGAAAUGCUCUGUGACUGAGUGGUUCAAAAAAAAAAAAAAAAAAAAAAAAAAAAAAUUGUUCUUAUCAGUUUAAUAUCUGAUAAUGUCCCUAUCUGGGGACCAUAUUAAAUGGAUUUUUGGGACAGGGAGAUGGAAGAAGAGCUGCUCUAACCACUCCACGCAUUGACCUUGGUAUUGCAGUACCUCCAGGACCGGUAACCUCUC